rnacentral:rRNA from 1 species
UACAGGGGGUGCAAACGUUGCUCGGAAUUAUUGGGCGUAAAGCGCGCGUAGGCGGCCACUUAAGUCGGAUGUGAAAGCCCCUGGCUCAACUGGGGAAGUGCACCCGAAACUGAAUGGCUUGAGUGCGAAAGAGGGUCGCGGAAUUCCUGGUGUAGCGGUGAAAUGCGCAGAUAUCAGGAAGAACACCUAUGGCGAAGGCAGCUCUCUGGGACGGUACUGACGCUGAGACGCGAAAGCGUGGGGAGCGAACAGG